rnacentral:rRNA from 1 species
GACGAAUGCUGGCGGCGUGCUUAACACAUGCAAGUCGAACGGAAAGGCCCUGCUUGCAGGGUCCUCGAGUGGCGAACGGGUGAGUAACACGUGGGUGAUCUGCCCUGCACUUCGGGAUAAGCCUGGGAAACUGGGUCUAAUACCGGAUAGGAGCCAUUUUUAGUGUGAUGGUUGGAAAGUUUUUUCGGUGUAGGAUGAGCUCGCGGCCUAUCAGCUUGUUGGUGGGGUAAUGGCCUACCAAGGCGGCGACGGGUAGCCGGCCUGAGAGGGUGGACGGCCACAUUGGGACUGAGAUACGGCCCAGACUCCUUCGGGAGGCAGCAGUGGGGAAUAUUGCACAAUGGGCGCAAGCCUGAUGCAGCGACGCCGCGUGGGGGAUGACGGCCUUCGGGUUGUAAACUCCUUUCGCUAGGGACGAAGCUUUUGUGACGGUACCUAGAUAAGAAGCACCGGCUAACUACGUG